rnacentral:rRNA from 1 species
AGAGUUUGAUCCUGGCUCAGAACGAACGCCAGCGGCGUGGAUUAGGCAUGCAAGUCGAACGUGAUCCGUAGCAAUACGGUGAAAGUGGCGGAAGGGUGAGUAAUGCAUAGAUAACCUACCUCCGAGACUGGGAUAACUCCGGGAAACUGGAGCUAAUACCGGAUAGGGUUGCGGGAUCGCAUGGUUCUGCAACUAAAGGU